AGAGCCAAAAUCUUUAUUCCGAGAUAUUUUACUUUAAAGUCUUUUCCUGUACUAGUUUAUCGCGGACGAUAAUUUUAAUUUUUUUAUCGCUCACAUGCGAUUAACAGUGUUCAAUAAGUACACCGAGAUUAAAU